AAUACAAAGGGCAGCGAAACCGCGAGGUCAAGCAAAUCCCAUAAAGUUGUUCUCAGUUCGGAUUGUAGUCUGCAACUCGACUACAUGAAGCUGGAAUCGCUAGUAAUCGUAGAUCAGCAUGCUACGGUGAAUACGUUCCCGGGCCUUGUACACACCGCCCGUCACACCACGAGAGUUUGUAACACCCGAAGCCGGUGGAGUAACCAUUUGGAG
rnacentral:rRNA from 1 species